rnacentral:rRNA from 1 species
CUGGAGGUAUCAGAAGUGCGAAUGCUGACAUAAGUAACGAUAAAGCGGGUGAAAAGCCCGCUCGCCGGAAGACCAAGGGUUCCUGUCCAACGUUAAUCGGGGCAGGGUGAGUCGACCCCUAAGGCGAGGCCGAAAGGCGUAGUCGAUGGGAAACAGGUUAAUAUUCCUGUACUUGGUGUUACUGCGAAGGGGGGACGGAGAAGGCUAUGUUGGCCGGGCGACGGUUGUCCCGGUUUAAGCGUGUAGGCUGGUUUUCCAGGCAAAUCCGGAAAAUCAAGGCUGAGGCGUGAUGACGAGGCACUACGGUGCUGAAGCAACAAAUGCCCUGCUUCCAGGAAAAGCCUCUAAGCAUCAGGUAACAUCAAAUCGUACCCCAAACCGACACAGGUGGUCAGGUAGAGAAUACCAAGGCGCUUGAGAGAACUCGGGUGAAGGAACUAGGCAAAAUGGUGCCGUAACUUCGGGAGAAGGCACGCUGAUAUGUAGGUGAAGUCCCUUGCGGAUGGAGCUGAAAUCAGUCGAAGAUACCAGCUGGCUGCAACUGUUUAUUAAAAACACAGCACUGUGCAAACACGAAAGUGGACGUAUACGGUGUGACGCCUGCCCGGUGCCGGAAGGUUAAUUGAUGGGGUUAGCGGUAACGCGAAGCUCUUGAUCGAAGCCCCGGUAAACGGCGGCCGUAACUAUAACGGUCCUAAGGUAGCGAAAUUCCUUGUCGGGUAAGUUCCGACCUGCACGAAUGGCGUAAUGAUGGCCAGGCUGUCUCCACCCGAGACUCAGUGAAAUUGAACUCGCUGUGAAGAUGCAGUGUACCCGCGGCAAGACGGAAAGACCCCGUGAACCUUUACUAUAGCUUGACACUGAACAUUGAGCCUUGAUGUGUAGGAUAGGUGGGAGGCUUUGAAGUGUGGACGCCAGUCUGCAUGGAGCCGGCCUUGAAAUACCACCCUUUAAUGUUUGAUGUUCUAACGUUGGCCCCUUACCGGGGUUGCGGACAGUGUCUGGUGGGUAGUUUGACUGGGGCGGUCUCCUCCUAAAGAGUAACGGAGGAGCACGAAGGUUGGCUAAUCCUGGUCGGACAUCAGGAGGUUAGUGCAAUGGCAUAAGCCAGCUUGACUGCGAGCGUGACGGCGCGAGCAGGUGCGAAAGCAGGUCAUAGUGAUCCGGUGGUUCUGAAUGGAAGGGCCAUCGCUCAACGGAUAAAAGGUACUCCGGGGAUAACAGGCUGAUACCGCCCAAGAGUUCAUAUCGACGGCGGUGUUUGGCACCUCGAUGUCGGCUCAUCACAUCCUGGGGCUGAAGUAGGUCCCAAGGGUAUGGCUGUUCGCCAUUUAAAGUGGUACGCGAGCUGGGUUUAGAACGUCGUGAGACAGUUCGGUCCCUAUCUGCCGUGGGCGCUGGAGAACUGAGGGGGGCUGCUCCUAGUACGAGAGGACCGGAGUGGACGCAUCACUGGUGUUCGGGUUGUCAUGCCAAUGGCACUGCCCGGUAGCUAAAUGCGGAAGAGAUAAGUGCUGAAAGCAUCUAAGCACGAAACUUGCCCC